GUUUACAGAUCACUACUCAGUGCGGAAGAACAAUACAGCAGCACGGACCAAGCAGAAAGUUGAGGAAUAACAAUGAGUGAGUUAUCUUUAUAUAAACCACCACAGCAACUGGAUGCAGGGACACCAGGAGAACAGGAUGGAGAAGAGUCUCUUGACAAAGCAGUGGACAUUUCUCAACCCAUCUCUCUCCUGAUUAAUUCUGUCAGUCUCAGUGACGAAAGCGCGGAGGACCGCAUCCCUGCAGAGAGGACAACUCAAGCAAAGAUGCAGUCUGUUUUCCAGCAGGUGCGCAAGCAAGUCAAAUCACAGGUGGGCAUGAACGUCCCAAGGAAUGGCAUUCUGGAACUCGUUCAGAUGGUCAAAAGCAGAGAGCUGGAGAUGGCAAAGGUGAACGGCCCAGAAAACACAGAGAAAGCAGGUGAAGAGAUUUUGGAAGACAAGCGUACCGGUGAGAUGGAUGUCAAAAGGGAGGAGCUUAUAGCGGUUUUUCAACAUGAGCUGGAGGCCAGUAGUGAGGCACUGAGGGAUGAGUUUAAAGAGCAGAUCACCCAACUGCAGAUAGAAAUGCAAGCCUACACAGACCAGGCUCUGAAGAGUCUUGAGUCCAAGGUGCCGAACAGGCAAACAUACUCCCACAAUAUACUCCAGCGGAUGUAUCAAGCAGAGCAGCCAGAGACCAGGAGCCUUGAGAAGAAGAAGAAGUCUCCAGCAGCACCCUUACUGGGCUCUGGUAAGACCAGAGUUUUGAGCCGAACCAUGACAACUCUCACCCCGAAGACAUGUCCCCCUAUCGUCCUCGGGCCUCGCUCUAAAUCAGAGACCUUGAGCUCCUCGAGGGAUAACAGUUCUCUGCCUCACUUCAAGGAUCCACACUUCCAUGUUCUCUCUUUUCGGAGCCCCAAGUACCAUCAGUCCUGUGGACCUCUGCUACCUAGCUGCCCCCCACGUCUCAAUUGCAAAAAGCCUCUCCGCACCAAAGCUCAGACAGGAAACUCACACAGUUGCAUUGAAUUGGAUAAAAUGUAAUCGCUGACACAGAGAUAAUAGAUUGACCCAAAAGGAAUUUGGGGAGUUGUCAUAGGCUACAUGUUACCUUCUCAUAAGAUGCCUUAUCUGAAGUCAGUGCAGCCAGCCACACAGACAUGCUGAGUUGAAUGCUCAAAAUCAGGUGGGAUGCUGUUGUUUACAUGAUAUUUUUUACAUGAAGUGAAAUACUACGUUUGCUUCUGUUCCAUAUUAACUAUAUGGCUAUGUUAGAUCUGUUAAUAUUUUCAGUCUAUUUGAUUUCUAAUUCUUAACUUGUUUUAAGCGGUACCUCCUGAAAGGGCUGCAACAACUUAGAAUAAGCUAAUAGAAAUGGGGUGAAUUUCUAAUUACUUUGUUUCAAAAACCCAUGUUUCAAUCAUAGAAAUAGUUCACAUGGUAUAUGAUUGUAUGGAAAGAUAAAACAUUUCUGCUCUAGGAUCACAGCUGAUAUUUACAAUAUGCUUCACAAAUCACACUGAAAACUUCUCUCUAGUCUAGAGCCUCCAAAGAUGCUCAAGAUUACAGUAAACAAUUGUAUUAUUGUCAUUUGUGUGUGCUGCGAAGGAUACAGUGAAAUGUAACUUUAAAAAGUGAUACAGAAUGUUAAAUAAUGGGCGGCAGGUAGCCUAGCGGUUAAGAACAUUGGGCCAGUAACCGAAAGGUCACUGGUUUGAAUCCCAAGCCGAUGAGGUGAAAAAUGUGUUGAUGUGCCCUUGAGCAAGGCACUUAACCCUAAUUGCUCCUGUAGGGUGUUGCGGUCGGCAAACUACCUGGCCUCCAGGGCACCCGAUGUCACAGGAAGCCCAAAAAGAUCAUUAAGGACAACAACCACCCGAGCCACUGCCUGGCCACCUCGCUAUCAUCCAGAAGGCGAGGUCAGUACAGGUGCAUCAAAGCUGGGACCGAGAGACUGAAAAUCAGCUUCUAUCUCAAGGCCAUCAGACUGUUAAAUAGCCAUCACUAGCACAUUAGAGGCUGCUGCCUAUAGACUUGAAAUCACUGGCCACUUUAAUAAGUGGAAUACUAGUCACUUUAAUAAGUUUGACAUAUCUUGCAUUACUCAUCUCAUAUGUUUAUACUGUACUCAUGUGUUUAUACUGUAUUCUAUCCUAUUCUACUGUAUCUUAGUCUAUGCCACUGACAUUGCUCGUCAGUGGCAUAUAUAUUCUUAUUCCAUUCCUUUACUUAGAUUUCUGUGUAUUGUGUAAUGUUGUGAAAUUGUUAGAUAUUACUUGUUACUUGUCAUUAUUGCACUGUCGGCACUAGAAACACAAGCAUUUCGCUAGAACCACAAUAACAUCUACUAAACACGUGUAUGUGACCAAUAAAAUGUGAUUUGAUUUGGAUGAGAGUGUCUGCUAAAUGACAAAAAAUGUAAAUGACAAAAUGAAAUAUCUGUAUAAUUGAGUGAGACUAGAGAACUGGAUGUGAAUUCCUCAGGGGUCUGGAUUGCCCUCAAAAUGAGUCAAAUAAAGACUGUAAAACUUCAAUAUCAUUAGAACAAUACACUUCACAGGGUGAACAAUAAACAGCAAUAAUACCCGUUGCUCACUCACUGCUUUGCAUCCUUGUGUUCAAGUGCAGCUACAUUUAGAACUUUGAGUAACAACUGAACAUACUUGUCUGAUGGGAGUUUUUAAGCUGCAACAGAUGUCAGAGGGAAAAAAAGAGGUACAAAUGAGGGGAUGGCACUGGAUAACCAGGUCGUAGGGCUGUAGUGAACAUAUUGUACUACAACAAGAAACAUUUAAUAAAGAUGAACAUAAAUCAAUAAAGGUUCAUUUGACAGCAUGAAAUAACUGAUGCAAUCUAUAAGUGAUUAACAGGUGCUGUGAAUUGCAGGGGUUUUGUAAAUGAUGUUGUGUAUGUUCAUUGUUUAAAUACAUUUAUACAAAUACCUGAUCACGAGAGAUGACAAUGGCUACUUCAAACACAGACCAAUCAGCAACUGUAGCACAAGGGGGCAUCACACCUCAGAGGUAUUGAUCAAUUGAGUCAGGUUGUUUUUAGGUAGAAGGUUCAUCAGUGGUAAAGGACUGAAGGACCAAUUACGAUAUAAACGAUAUCAUAACCGCCAUCGAUAAAAGACAGUACUGUGCAGCCGUCUUCAUUGACCUGGUCAAGGCUUUCGACUCUGUCAAUCACCGCAUUCUUAUUGGCAGACUCAACAGCCUUGGUUUAUCAAAUGACUGCCUCGCCUGGCUCACCAGCUACUUCUCAGAUAGAGUUCAGUGUGUCAAAUCGGAGGGCCUGUUGUCCAAACCUCUGGCAGUCUCUAUGGGGGUGCUGUUGUCUGUUGUCUGUAGCUUGUGAGGUGUGGAAACACUUUGUUGCUUUUAUGAAUUUUGUCUUGCUGCUUUUUGUUCUAUGUUGCUCUGUCUGUAUGCUACGUCUUGCUUGUCCUAUGUUGCUCUGUCUGUAUGCUAUGUCUUGCUUGUCCUAUGUUGCUAUGUCUUGCUUGUUCUAUGUUGCUAUUGUCUAUAUUGUAAUUGUUUUUAAUAACCUGCCCAGGGACUGCGGUUGAAAAUUAGCCGGCUGGCUAAAACCGUCACUUUUACUGAAACGUUGAUUAAUGUGCACUGUCCCUGUAAAAAUAAAAAUAAACUCAACUCAACUCCACAGGGUUCAAUUCUCGGGCCGACUCUUUUCUCUGUAUAUAUCAAUGAUGUCGCUCUUGCUGAUGGUGAUUCUCUGAUCCACCUCUACGCAGACGACACCAUUCUGUAUACAUCUGGCCCUUCUUUGGACACUGUGCUAUAACAAACCACCAAACGAGAGUCAAUGCCCUACAAUACUCCUUCUGUGGCCUCCAACUGCUCUUAAAUGCAAGUAAAACUAAAUGCAUGCUUUUCAACCGAUUGCUGCCCGCACCCGCCUGCCCGCCUAGCAUCACUACUCUGGAUGGUUCUGACUUAGAAUAUGUGGACAACUACAAAUACCUAGGUGUCUGGUUAGACAGGGGUGGCAGGGUAGCCUAGUGGUUAGAGCGUUGGACUAGUAAGCGGAAGGUUGCAAGUUCAAACCCCUGAGCUGACAAGGUACAAAUCUGUCGUUCUGCCCCUGAACAGGCAGUUAACCCACUCUUUCUAGGCUGUCAUUGAAAAUAAGAAUUUGUUCUUAACUGACUUGCCUUACUAAAGGUAUAAAAUAAAGACUAAACUCUCCUUCCUGACUCACAUUAAGCAUCUCCAAAAUUAAAUCUAGAAUCAGCUUCCUAUUUUGCAACAAAGCCUCCUUCACUCAUGCUGCUAAACAUACCCUCGUAAAACUGACUAUCCUACCGAUCCUUGACUUCGGCAAUGUCAUUUACAAAAUAGCCUCCAACACUCUACUCAGCAAAUUGGAUGUAGUCUACCACAGUGCCAUCUGUUUUGUCACCAAAGCCCCAUACACUACCCACCGCUGCGACCUGUAUGCUUUGUUGGCUGGCCCUCGCUACAUAUUUGUCGCCAAACCCACUGGCUCCAGGUCAUCUAUAAGUCUUUGCUAGGUAAAGCCCCGACUUAUCUCAGCUCAUUGUUCACCAUAGCACGCACUCCAGCAGGUAUAUUUCACUGGUCAUCCCCAAAGCCAACACCUAUUUGGCAGCCUUUUCUUCCAGUUCUAUGCUGCCAAUGACUGGAAGGAAUUGCAAAAAUCACUGAAGCUGGAGACUUAUAUCUCCAUCACUAACUUUAAGCAUCAGCUCUCAGAGCAGCUUACCCAUCACUGUACCUGUACACAGCCCAUCUGUAAAUAGCACACCCAACUACCUCAUCCCUUUUCUGCAUUGUGUCCCGCCACCCACCAACCCCUCUUUUACGCUACUGCUACUCUCUGUUCAUCAUAUAUGCAGUUACAUUAACCAUAUCUACAUACUACCUCAAUCAGCCUAACUAACCGGUGUCUGUAUGUAGCCUCGCUAAUGUAUAUAGCCUUGCUACUGUUAUUUUUCACUGUCUUUUUACUGUUGUUUUAUUUCUUUACUUACCUAUUGUUCACCUAAUACCUUUUUUUGCACUUUUGGUUAGAGCCUGUAAGUAAGCAUUUCACUGUAAGGUUUACAUGUUGUAUUCGGCGCACGUAAGAAAUAAACAUUGAUUUAAAAAAAAAAAAAAUUGUUGCUCUUUUGCACCCCAGUAUCUCUACUUGCACCCCAGUAUCUCUACUUGCACAUUAUCUUCUACAUAUAUAUUCACUCCAGUGUUAAUGCUAAAUUGUAAUUAUUUCGCCACUAUGGCCUAUUUACUGCCUUACCUCCCUAAUCUUCUACAUUUGCACACACUGUACAUAGAUUUUUCUAUUGUGUUACUGGACUGUACGUUUGUUUAUCCCAUGGUUAACUCUGUGUUGUUGUUUGUGUCGCACUGCUUUGCUUUAUCUUGGCCAGGUCGCGGUUGUAAAUGAGAACUUGUUCUCAACUGGCCUACCUGGUUAAAUAAAGGCUAAAGAAAAAAAGAAAAAAAAGAAACAAAGGGAACUGGGAAGUCAUACAGAUGUAGGAUCUUCAUCUUAUCACCCUGUGCAGCAGCACGUUCCUGCAGGAGAUUUAAAAAGGCUUUUCCCUCAAU
ensembl:lncRNA